GAUGGUGGGCACACCACCCCCUUCUCCAGGGAGCCACCACAGACCCUGCCCCAGUAGCAGCUGCUGGAGCCCUGGACAGCUCUGAUCCACGAGCAACUCGCCGACCUCUGCACUUCCUGGUUCCCCUACCCAGAACCCAAAGGUGUAGAGGAACAGAUCCUCCUUGACUUCAGAUAACCCAAGGGCUUUGGGGGACAUCUGGAUAAGAGACUUUGUUUAAAGAACUCCAGUGGUAUUGACAGGACACAGGUCUCAGAAAUCUGCCCCCAGGAUUGCCAAGCAAAGGACCAAAGGGACUAGUUCUAAGGAAGAGGAGAGAACCUUAGGUCAUGCAGAAGGUCGUUUAUGUCCUGCCUGGCUCAAGAAUCAGGAGGAUACAAAUGCUUAAUGGCACCACUCAAAAGAAUGCAGAGCUGAAAGCUGGGGAAUUUAAGUGCCGUUCUAAACUCUGCCGGUAGCGUGCUGUGUGACUUCUGGCAAGGCGCCCACCUCCUCUGGGCCCCAUUUCAUCUUUUGCAGGAGGAGGAGGUGAUGCUAGCUCAGCAUUCCAGCACUAUUUCUUGGUGGACAGGAGCCAGCUGUCUUGAGCCUACAGCCGCUUCCCAAGACAAAGCGCCUCGUCUCACUGUGGCCGAACGCGGGCGCACCUGCAGUACAGUCUCACUCAUCGCCCAGACGGCUUCAGCUCAAGCGGCAUGGCCGGGGCUUGUCCCCCCACCCCAGAGCCUCAAGUGCCUACAACGCGCCACCCCACNNNNNNNCUGCUCACCUGUAACAUCCCCACACUUCUCGUUCUCGGACCGCGUCUCACCUUUCUGCCCGGCAGCCCGUUCUGUAGACAUUGUGGAAUCCUGGACACCAGCGUCUAGCAUCCACCGACCCUGUGCAUCCCACCCUGGAGCUGUAUGCCUGUCCCUGUUCCCAGCAGAAUGGCUUCCUUGUAUAUUACACGGUGGCUACUGUUCUCUUAAAGGCUUUUAGCUCACAAAAACUGUUGCCGAUGUGACAAAAAUUAUACUUGAGUCUGCUCUUUUGUUCUCGAAGCUCACGCUUGGCUUUCAAACUGGGUGCAAGCGAUCUUUCCGCCUCACUUAGUGCGGUUGCUUCACUCUUGAUGUGGGUUCUCUCUUGGGUGACCAACUGUCCCCUCAGGCUGCCUGCAACUUAGGAGUUGGUGGAGGAGCUCCCAGGAUGUGGGACUUUGAGUUUCAAAACUGGGACAAUCCCAGGAAAAUCAGGACAAGUUGGUCACUGUAGUUCCCCCAGAUGCAGAGCCUGAGAUGAGGAUUCAGUGCAGAUAGUGUAUCCGUGUGCUUCCAGGAAACACCCUAGGCACGUGAAGAAUUAAAAUAAUAGCGGAGAGGACACCCAUAGAGGGAUCCUUACCAACCAGCUUAUGACUCUGGGUGUGGACCCUCUUUUGUUCUCAGAGCUCAUGCUUGGCUUUCAAACUAGGUUCAGUGACCUUUCUGCCUCACUUAGGACGGUUAUAUUUGUCUUGACCUGGGUUCUAUCUAGGAUGACCAACUGUCCCCCAGGUUGCCUGGAACUUGGGUGUGGGUUGGGGGUCCUCCCAGGAUGUGGGACUUUGAGUUUCAAACUCUCUAGGAAGGAGAGUGGAUGCCCAUCUCAGCGCUCAUAGGGAAGGAAUGGGGGCCGGCACACCAGCUCCACUCAGCCACCGCUUGAGGGUCCCUCUCAGGGGCCUUCACCCCUUGGCAUCUGUGGCCAGCCACGGGUGCACUGGCCGAGCUGACUUCUGCAGCUGGAGAAAGCCACCUGGCAAAGGGCAGGUGCCGGCAGGUCUUCAGCCGCGGUGCGCCGAGCUGAACGGAGCUGAGACGGAGCUGACCCUGAGAGGCGCUGGCAGCACCUGCUGAGGCCUCUCUGCAGCGUCGCUUUCAUCUCUGCUUUUUCUCAGUGGCCACCAGUGAUCCCACAAAAUAUGUCCCUUAGAGAGCCACCGUGCUGCCUGGGAAGCCACCCACACUGACCCCCAAGUCAGGACGCUAAGGCUCCUUCGGAAGUCCUCUAGCAGCUGGCCUCGUUUCUUCAAAAUCAGUCAUCACUUGGCAGAGUCCGGGGAGAACAGUUGAUUANNNNNNNNNNNNNNNNNNNNNNNNNNNNNNNNNNNNNNNNNNNNNNNNNNNNNNNNNNNNNNNNNNNNNNNNNNNNNNNNNNNNNNNNNNNNNNNNNNNGGGGAGAACAGUUGAUUAAAACAGGAACUCCCAAUGGGCCAGAAGCAGCAUGCCAACAGCCCCUCGUGGAAACAAUUCCAGGAGCCAAGAGGCUGAGAUUAAACGGUCAGCCGAAACACUGUUCACGGACAACCCCCAUGGGUGAUUUCUCAACCAGGUUAAUGGCUUUCACUAAGACAGGCCAGCCCUUUUCUCUGAUCACCACCACCGCUCCACGCUGCUGGGGGACAGAGUCCUUUCAGACCUCACUGACUUAACAUGAGCCAGGCACCAGCCACCUUUGUAGGAAACUUGCAGUUGCCUGCUGGGUCCUCUUCAUCCUGCAAAAGCCAGGUGUGUGUGUGAACACGCGCAUCCUGCUGGGAUGGCUGUAUGGGUCUCCUGGUCCCUCGUACAGGGAAAAACAUGCGCAGGGAAGCAGGGACUCAGGGUCUCCCCAGGAGCUCUGAAGGAGAGAAUGAAGUGAACCCUGUGGUCUCUGAGCCUCUGAAGUCCUCUGUCCCACUCCAAGGCACUGAGCUCCCUUGUGCUGUGUGCUAAGUCGCUUCAGUCAUGUCCGACUCUGCGCCCCCAUGGACCGUAGCCCGCCAGCCUCUGCUGUCCAUGGGAUUCUCCAGGCAAGAAUGCGGCAGUGGGUUGCCAUGCCCUCCUCCAGGGGAUCUUCCCACCCCCAGCACCGAAUCCACGUCUCUGAUGUCUCCUGCAUCGGCAGGAGGGGUCUUUACCACUAGUGCCACCUGGGAAACCGCAAGAUGCCACCUGAGCUCCUUUAGGCUCCAUUCUCCUGAAAUGGAGUGAAAACACCGAGUUCCAGCCUGGCUCUGCCAAGCUCUCUUGUUCU
rnacentral:lncRNA from 1 species